UUGGUGGAUUUGGAGACUUCAACUUACAGACUUGACAAAUUUGACGACAUCAACUUGUAGACUUUGUAUAUUUAAAGACUUCAGCU
rnacentral:pre_miRNA from 1 species